ACUUCAAAUUCAAUGGGUUAGAAGUUAUUGAGACAAUAUUACUAUGAAUAGAAUUAACUCCAUUAUCCUCCAAAUCUUUCUUCACUAAGAUUCUUAAUGUUUAACAUCAAUGCUACAUGCGAUAACUCAUAUAAGCAUCUCAAAAUCGAAAUCUCUACCCAAUAUUGUAUUUUACAAAGAUUCCUGGUUAGAUUAUAAAUCUAGACUUGUGUUCAAGUUAACACAUCCAAUAGUCUCCAACAAUUAUGGAAAAAAUUUCAGUAGCCCAAUCUGAAUAUACAAAUUCAAAUAAUUAGAAUUCUCCACCAAUUUGCAUACUAGCCUUAAGAAUCUAACCCACCAAUAGAAAUACACCUAUUUAAAAUAUCCAAACAUACCAAUACCACAUAUAGAUUCACCAACAUAUUCAACUUCGAAGAACAUUUCUUUCAAUAUUAUGAAAUCUUCUUAGCUCACUUCAAUACUAUGGAAGAUCUACGUACAAAUCUUACUCUAAUAAUUAGCAACAAAAUCAAAAGUACAAUCACAUCAAAACCUAUAUCAAGUUUGAACUUUCAAGUCAUUUAAAUAAUAUAUGAGCAU
rnacentral:lncRNA from 1 species